AGCUGUGUCUGCCUGCCUUGCCUGACUUGUUCCCAGCACCAAGCAAAGGCAUCUCUCCCUGGCUGCCUCCUCUUCUGGGGUAACCCAGACCCCUAAACACAGGGAUAAACCCAGGAGCAGGCAGCAAACCCUAGAGGAAGGCAGGGAAGAAGCCAAACCAAGAGGGGAAUCUGCAGGUUUUGUGUUGGAGUCCGUGGAGAGAGAGGAUUGAAGCUUUUCCCCAGCCUUUGGUUUCUUGAUGCAGGGUCUCUGAAGGACAGUGAAACAUGAGCUUAUGCUACAGCCCUUCCUCAGGUGACACUGGACAUGAGGGGAUUUCUGAGCGCCCAUCUCCCCCUCAUGGCUCUGCUGCCUCCAGUCACUCUGGCAAUGGCUGCGCUGCUGCUCUGGGACAACAGCGGGGAGCAGCGACCUGCUCAGGGGACAAGGCCAGCGGUGUUUGUGUCAAUCCUUCAGAGCUGUCGUGUCCAAAACCCAAUAGUCUGACCUUCGUGACCGUGUCCACCCCAUGAGCAGAGGGAUGCAGCUGCCCUGCUGUGGAAAAUAAACCAUGUGUGAAAUCUUUCA
rnacentral:lncRNA from 1 species